rnacentral:rRNA from 2 species
UACGGAGGAUCCGAGCGUUAUCCGGAUUUAUUGGGUUUAAAGGGUGCGUAGGCGGGUUAUUAAGUCAGUGGUGAAAGUUUGACGCUCAACGUUAAAAUUGCCAUUGAUACUGAUAGUCUUGAGUACAGUUGAGGUAGGCGGAAUGUGGUGUGUAGCGGUGAAAUGCAUAGAUAUACCACAGAACACCGAUUGCGAAGGCAGCUUACUAAAGUGUCACUGACGCUGAUGCACGAAAGUGUGGGGAUCAAACAGG